rnacentral:rRNA from 1 species
AACGAACGCUGGCGGCAUGCCUAACACAUGCAAGUCGAACGGGAUCCUAGCUUGCUAGGUGAGAGUGGCGGACGGGUGAGUAACACGUGGGAAUCUGCCUUUUUGGUUCGGGAUAACCGCGGGAAACUGCGGCUAAUACCGAAUGCCCUCGAGAGAGGAAAGAUUUAUCGCCAGAAGAGGAGCCCGCGUCCGAUUAGGUAGUUGGUGGGGUAAAGGCCUACCAAGCCGACGAUCGGUAGCUGGUCUGAGAGGAUGAUCAGCCACACUGGGACUGAGAUACGGCCCAGACUCCUACGGGAGGCAGCAGUGGGGAAUAUUGGACAAUGGGGGCAACCCUGAUCCAGCAAUGCCGCGUGAGUGAUGAAGGCCUUAGGGUUGUAAAGCUUCUUUUGCCAGGGAAGAUGAUGACUGUACCUGGAGAAUAAGCCCCGGCUAACUUCGUGCCAGCAGCCACGGUAAU